AGAACGAACGCUGGCGGCGUGCCUGAGACAUGCAAGUCGUGGGAGAAUGUCGUAGCAAUACGAUUAGUAAACCGGCGUACGGGUGAGUAACACGUGGAUAACGUGCCUUGAAGCCCGGGAUAACCCGUCGAAAGACGGACUAAUACCGGAUAAGACCACGGGAAGUUUGCCUCCUGGGGUAAAAGGUGGCCUCUGCUCCUGCAAGCUAUCACUUCUAGAGCGGUCCGCGGCCUAUCAGCUAGUUGGCGAGGUAAUGGCUCACCAAGGCGAAGACGGGUAGCUGGUCUAAGAGGAUGGUCAGCCACACUGGGACUGAGACACGGCCCAGAGUCCUACGGGAUGCAGCAGUCAGGAAUAUUGCGCAAUGGAGGAAACUCUGACGCGGCGACGCCGCGUGGGUGAUGAAGGCCUUCGGGUCGUAAAGCCCUGUCGGAAGGGAAGAAAAGCUUGUUGGCUAAUAUCCAGCGAGCCUUUGACGGUACCUUCAAAGGAAGCACCGGCUAACUCCGUGCCAGCAGCCGCGGUAAGACGGAGGGUGCAAGCGUUGUUCGGAUUGACUGGGCGUAAAGGGCGUGUAGGCGGUUCGUUAAGUCGGGUGUGAAAGCCCGGGGCUCAGCUCCGGAAGUGCGCCCGAAACUGGCGAGCUGGAGCGCGGUAGAGGAGGGUGGAAUUCCUGGUGUAGCGGUGAAAUGCGUAGAUAUCAGGAGGAACACCUGUGGCGAAAGCGGCUCACUGGACCAUUACUGACGCUGAUGCACGAAAGCUAGGGGAGCAAACAGGAUUAGAUACCCUGGUAGUCCUAGCCCUAAACGAUGAUCGCUUGGUGUGACAGGUACCCAAUCCUGUUGUGCCGGAGCUAACGCGUUAA
rnacentral:rRNA from 1 species